UACGGAGGGUGCAAGCGUUAAUCGGAAUUACUGGGCGUAAAGCGCACGCAGGCGGUCUGUCAAGUCGGAUGUGAAAUCCCCGGGCUCAAACUGGGAACUGCAUCCGAAACUGGCAGGCUAGAGUCUUGUAGAGGGGGGUAGAAUUCCAGGUGUAGCGGUGAAAUGCGUAGAGAUCUGGAGGAAGACCGGUGGCGAAGGCGGCCCCCUGGACAAAGACUGACGCUCAGGUGCGAACGCGUGGGGCGCAAACAGGAUUAGAUACCCUGGUCGUCCACGCCGUAAACGAUGUCGACUUGGAGGUUGUGCCCUUGAGGCGUGGCUUCCGGAGCUAACGCGUUAAGUCGCCCGCCUGGGGAGUACGGCCGCAAGGUUAAA
rnacentral:rRNA from 1 species